AUGUGCUACAUACGAAUAAAUUGGAGUAAGCCUGUCCUAUUUUGGAGCCUGGGAGCCCAUAGGAGUGCUUUCACUAAGUGGGCUAACAGGAAGGAGAAUCAAGAAAGAAAUUAUUUAGGCAUAGGUAGUUCAGUGAAGAGAUUAGAAUCUAAAAGAAAAUGGUAAAGAAACUUUAACCCUUAGGAAGUGUUAAAAAAAGAACAUUACAAGUUUGAUAUUAAGCUUUUAACAGUGCUAAGUAGUUGGUUAAACUUAGCAUGAUGAAAGUAGGAUACGGAAAGAGCUAAGCUGGUGGUGAUCCUUAGUCACACAUUUACGGUAUAGUUAGUUGGACUUAUAUAUGGAUGAUGACUCUAUAGAGAUACUGGUAAAUUAAAAAGCUGUUCUCUAGCUUUGCAUGAUUUACUCUAAUCAUAAUGCUUGGGUCUCCUAAUGUGACUUUGGCAGGCGAUGAUUGCUAGAGGUUUCCAUGGUGACAGCAACACUCACAAAAUUUACUUCUUUUCCAAGUCUUCACUUGGUUUUACAGACUUCCUUUCCCUGGUGUGCCUUUUCGCUCUGAUAGGUGCUGCUGUCCUAUCAGAAAGACUCAUAUAAUUCUAACCAGCAAGAGUAUGGUUGGCUUGAUGCUGGUGCACAUUUACCAUCAGUAUGGAAAACAUUCAGCUAUUGCACAUAGGAACUCCACUUUAGGCCUCGUUUGGUAUCACUGCCCUUUUUUUUGUUUUCCAAAUGCAAUUUCUGUGUGAUAGGAUGCUUUGGUGGACGAAUUUCUCCCUUUUCGUCUUUGUUGGUAAGCUUGCUACGCACCGCAACAUUGGUUGUGUUCGUAAUGGCAUCUUCUUUUUCAAUGCCAAAAUAAAAGAGUGAAAAACAAAGGUUACUGCUGAAUUUUAUUUUUGUUACCAAACAAAGACCGCUAGUUAUAUAGAUUGAGUACAUUAGAAACUUGUAUUUGAAAAAGAAAAUCCUCCCUCCCUUUUUAAAAUAAAGCCCUUCUCGCCAUUGCAUGGAAUUUGUAUUUCAAAAAAGAAACUAAACAAUGGUGAGGAAACCAAACGAGGUCUUGGUUUUGCAUGCCUAACCUUCUGAAGAGAGUAAGGUGAAGUCGAACAUCUGGUGCAUCAGGAGACCAUUCGAUCAACUCUUUCCACAGAAGCAAUCAAAUAUUUUCUCUGCUUUCUAAUGGUAGUCUUAAUGAAUUGUCAUGUCCUUAGCAGGUGAUGGCUGAGUAUAUUAGCCGCCGCCUAACGUGCCUGAUAUUUUUCAAGAUGCCGCAUUGUAAAUUAUGAGUUCAGUUUGUUCAUAUUCCGCAGAGUAUCUUCUUCUGCAAGCAAAGAAAGGGUGGAGCGCCAAGGCAUUCAGUGACGGAACACAUUUGUGUGCAAAGAAAGGGUCUUGAUGCUGGCUCAUCUGGGUCUGCAACUCUUAAUUUUUUAUUGUAAUGAAAGCAAGGGAGAGAUCACCUAAGUACGAAGUACUAAAUUAUUAUUUACUAUUUGUUGAAGUUGGGAUUUAUGUAUCAUUGGCUUCUUUAUAAUAUCGUAGUUUUUGUGA